UACGUAGGGUGCGAGCGUUAAUCGGAAUUACUGGGCGUAAAGCGUGCGCAGGCGGUUUUGUAAGUCUGACGUGAAAUCCCCGGGCUUAACCUGGGAAUUGCGUUGGAGACUGCAAGGCUGGAGUCUGGCAGAGGGGGGUAGAAUUCCACGUGUAGCAGUGAAAUGCGUAGAGAUGUGGAGGAAUACCGAUGGCGAAGGCAGCCCCCUGGGAUGAUACUGACGCUCAUGCACGAAAGCGUGGGGAGCAAACAGG
rnacentral:rRNA from 1 species